CUUCUUUGAACAUGUCUGGUAGAAUUCAGCUGUGAUCCAUCCAGUCCUGGGCUUCUUUUGGUUGACUAUGGAAAUGAUGUUAGACAAAAAGCAAAUUCAACUUCAAAGUGGGUCUUAAAACAGCCAAGACAACUUGCAACAUCAACAACGCAUUUGUUCCACUGAGAAUGAACGUACAGUGCAGUGGUGGUUCAAGAAGUUUUGCAAGGGAGACAAGAGCCUUGAAGACAAGCAGCAUAGUGGCUGGCCAUGAGAAGUUGACGAUGACCAACUGAGAACAAUCAUCAAAGCUGAUCCCCUUAAAACUACACAAGAAGUUGCCAAAGAACUCAUCAUUGGCCAUUUGAAGCAAAUUGGAAAGGGAAUGGAUACCCAACCUCAUCAACUAUGCAUUAAAGGAAUAAAGACAAUGAUGCAAGUUUAGAUGCCACCUCCACAAGUUUGCUCCUGAGGCUUUCCUAGGGUUACGCAAUUCUGGAUUGUGCCUACUUACCCACUG
rnacentral:lncRNA from 1 species